AGGUCUAGCCCUGGAAAUCCUGGUAAAGCUACAAGCAGACUAAAAAGUAUCAUUCACAGCACAAGUGACGUGUAAAACUUGGAAUUGAAAAUAUAUUGGAAUGUGUUUAGGAGAACAGUCAUUUGAUUUAAACAUGAUCUAAACACAUGCUUCACACAGUCAAGUUUAGCUCGUGACAAGAGAAGAAUGGAGAUUGGAUUCUUUGCUGGGCCUAGUAACCUGAGAUUGUCUGACGGGGACUUCCAUUAGCCCCGUGUUCACUAAAGCUUGCCACACCACCAGCAAUGGUU